AGUGAACGCUGGCGGUAGGCCUAACACAUGCAAGUCGAACGGCAGCACAGUAAGAGCUUGCUCUUACGGGUGGCGAGUGGCGGACGGGUGAGGAAUACAUCGGAAUCUACUUUUUCGUGGGGGAUAACGUAGGGAAACUUACGCUAAUACCGCAUACGACCUACGGGUGAAAGCAGGGGAUCUUCGGACCUUGCGCGAUUGAAUGAGCCGAUGUCGGAUUAGCUAGUUGGCGGGGUAAAGGCCCACCAAGGCGACGAUCCGUAGCUGGUCUGAGAGGAUGAUCAGCCACACUGGAACUGAGACACGGUCCAGACUCCUACGGGAGGCAGCAGUGGGGAAUAUUGGACAAUGGGCGCAAGCCUGAUCCAACCAUACCGCGUGGGUGAAGGAGGCCUUCGGGUUGUAAAGCCCUUUUGUUGGGAAAGAAAAGCAGCAGGUUAAUACCCCGCUGUUCUGACGGUACCCAAAGAAUAAGCACCGGCUAACUUCGUG
rnacentral:rRNA from 1 species